rnacentral:tRNA from 1 species
GCGGAGGUGAUGCAAUGGCAGACAUCGCUGGCCUAGAACCAGCGUCCUGCGGGUUCAAGUCCCGCUCUCCGUACCA